UAGGGAAUCUUCGGCAAUGGACGGAAGUCUGACCGAGCAACGCCGCGUGAGUGAAGAAGGUUUUCGGAUCGUAAAGCUCUGUUGUUAGAGAAGAAUGAUGGUGGGAGUGGAAAAUCCACCAUGUGACGGUAACUAACCAGAAAGGGACGGCUAACUACGUGCCAGCAGCCGCGGUAAUACGUAGGUCCCGAGCGUUGUCCGGAUUUAUUGGGCGUAAAGCGAGCGCAGGCGGUUCUUUAAGUCUGAAGUUAAAGGCAGUGGCUCAACCAUUGUACGCUUUGGAAACUGGAGAACUUGAGUGCAGAAGGGGAGAGUGGAAUUCCAUGUGUAGCGGUGAAAUGCGUAGAUAUAUGGAGGAACACCGAUGGCGAAGGCAGGUCUCUGGGCAGUAACUGACGCUGAGGGGCGAAAGCAUGGGUAGCGAACAGGAUUAGAUACCCUGGUAGUCCAUGCCGUAAACGGUGGGCGCUAGGUGUAGGGGGCUUCCACGUCUUCUGUGCCGUAGCUAACGCAUUAAGCGCCCCGCCUGGGGAGUACGGCCGCAAGGCUA
rnacentral:rRNA from 1 species